rnacentral:rRNA from 1 species
UACGGCCACAUUGGGACUGAGAUACGGCCCAGAUUCCUACGGGAGGCAGCAGUGGGAAUAUUGCACAAUGGGCGGAAGCCUGAUGCAGCGACGCCGCGUGGGGGAUGACGGCCUUCGGGUUGUAAACUCCUUUCGACAGGGACGAAGCGCAAGUGACGGUACCUGUAUAAGAAGCACCGGCUAACUACGUGCCAGCAGCCGCGGUAAUACGUAGGGUGCGAGCGUUGUCCGGAAUUACUGGGCGUAAAGAGCUCGUAGGUGGUUUGUCGCGUCGUCUGUGAAAUUCCGGGGCUUAACUUCGGGCGUGCAGGCGAUACGGGCAUAACUUGAGUGCUGUAGGGGAGACUGGAAUUCCUGGUGUAGCGGUGAAAUGCGCAGAUAUCAGGAGGAACACCGAUGGCGAAGGCAGGUCUCUGGGCAGUUACUGACGCUGAGGAGCGAAAGCAUGGGUAGCAAACAGGAUUAGAUACCCUGGUAGUCCAUGCCGUAAACGGUGGGCGCUAGGUGUAGGGGGCUUCCACGUCUUCUGUGCCGUAGCUAACGCAUUAAGCGCCCCGCCUGGGGAGUACGGCCGCAAGGCUAAAACUCAAAGGAAUUGACGGGGGCCCGCACAAGCGGCGGAGCAUGUGGAUUAAUUCGAUGCAACGCGAAGAACCUUACCUGGGCUUGACAUACACCAGAUUGCUGCAGAGAUGUAGUGUCCCUUGUGGUUGGUGUACAGGUGGUGCAUGGUUGUCGUCAGCUCGUGUCGUGAGAUGUUGGGUUAAGUCCCGCAACGAGCGCAACCCUUGUCUUAUGUUGCCAGCAUUUGGUUGGGGACUCAUGAGAGACUGCCGGGGUUAACUCGGAGGAAGGUGGGGAUGACGUCAAAUCAUCAUGCCCCUUAUGUCCAGGGCUUCACACAUGCUACAAUGGUCGGUACAACGCGCAGCGACACUGUGAGGUGGAGCGAAUCGCUGAAAGCCGGCCUUAGUUCGGAUUGGGGUCUGCAACUCGACCCCAUGAAGUGGGAGUCGCUAGUAAUCGCAGAUCAGCAAUGCUGCGGUGAAUACGUUCCCGGGCCUUGUACACACCGCCCGUCAC